rnacentral:lncRNA from 1 species
GGCAGCCGGCCUUAAAGGGGUCCCCGCGGCGGGCGCAGGGGAGGUGGACCCCACCGGGGACAGGUGAGUGCCUGGACCCCCCGGCGGGGGCUGCGGGGCUGGGGAGGGCGCCGGGGCUGCUGGCCCAGAGGGGGUUUCCGGAGCCCCAGCCCCGUGGGGAGAAGCGGGGCCGAGACCCCACCGCCACCCCAGGCAGCCCCCAGCCCCGAACCGCCAGGGAGGCCGUUCCCUCGGGUGGGCCUGGGCUCACUGGUGGCUGGGAUGCCGUCCCCGAUCCUGGUCCUGGCAGCCACAGGAGGGGCCUUGCCGCCCCCCGGCUGUGGGUGUCGGAGCCCCAAGGGCCUCCCAGCGCUGAGCCCAGCGGCUGGAGCCGGGKCAGAGGCCUGGGCCUUGGAUCACCUCUCCCCACAGCCCACAGAGGGGAGAAGGGCGCCAUGCUCUCUGCGGGGCGCCCACCCACCGAGGGGGCCAGCCCCAACCAGGAGGGUCUCAAACUGCUUUCCAAGCUUCCCUGUUYGGAGGCGGGCGAGUCCUUCGCCUGCCCGACCAGGAGUCCUUCCUGGAGCUUGUCCAGGAGUGGAGCCGGGAGCCAGGCUCGGAUCGGGCCUUGAGAGCAGGCCGGGAGGAGAGGCCAUGGGCAGGCUGCCCCGCCACGGCCAGGGUGGCUCCCGCUCACCAGGCCCCGGCCCAGGCGAGCAUGGCAGCUCCCACCUCGGUGCAGUGAAGGCCUCUGGGCCCAGCCAGGCCACAAGGAGGGCGAUCCCCAGAGCCAAGGCCCCUGCUGUGGGGGAGGCUGCGGCCGUGCUGGGGAGCAGGACCCGGGGCCUGUGGCCUGGAGGUCUCCGCAGCGAUUGCGGGGGACGGCGGCCCCACGACCCGCAUCCAGUGUCCCCAAAGGCCAGGCCAGCCCUGGCCCUCGAUGCUCCCGCCAGGCCCAUGGGGCACCCGGGCCUCCCCCUGGGGAAGGGUCCCCGGGGCCGCCGAGCGGGGCCUGGCGUGUCGGGGCGCGUCCCCGGGGCCGGGCUCGGUGGUGCCGCCACCCCUGCUCCCCG